UAGACACUAUUGGGCCUGGGAAUAGAACGGCGCCAUAAACAUGUUAUGGAAAUGCUUAGAUGAUUUAAAGGAUUUCGAAAUUGCACAGAAAUUGAUGAUUCUUAAAACGAAUCUUCUUUCUUUACAAUGCUGUUUUCCGCAGUAUUUUUGUCAACAGCCAACUCUACAAUAUUCAAAAUUCUACUACGCACUAUAGCGUUAUAUGUGCGUUAGAUUACCUCACAAUGUAUCUGAUGACAUUUUACAAAGUACUUCAACGUAACGAUGAGAAAGAUAUCGAGUCACUGCCGUGAGAAUAAACGUUCGAGCGAUUUUUAUUAUCGCAUCCUACAAGUAAAGAGGACUGUGACUUAUUUGUAGACGUUCUAAUCUUUGUACAAUUGUAUUUAAAUGUUGCAAAGAAAGGAAAAGGUUCGUGGAUUAGUAGGAUUAUGAAAAACAUGACGAGAUCAUUGGCAGAUUUAUUUUAGAACUUGGAAGUUGACAAUCAGAGUAUACAUCAAUCUAUACUGAAAUUAGUACGUAUGUGCAUGUUCGGCGAUCGAAAAAAUGCAGAAAUCUAUAACGACGAACCUAAGAACACCUUCGGAUUUGAUUUGUAGAGUUCGUUGUUUCAACAUUAUGUUUCAGGGAUCAACAGCAUUUCUACAAUCUCGGUAUUAAUAUUUGUUAAAUGUAUUAUAUUUAAAUUUUAAUGAUAUCUAUCUUUAUUUUAGAAUGAUUUCGUGAAGUUUGAUAUUAUCCUUCCUUCUCUUUUUUAGCAUAUCUUGAUUGGCUGUUAACGUGUUUGACGUAUCUGAUCGGGCAAUGCGAAUGGAGAAAUCAUAAAAAUCUACUAUUGUCUUUUUGCAACACGCUUAUCGAGCCGAUCGUGUCCUUUCAUGGUGCUGGUACUGUUAGCUUUAUGGGUUUAUCAAUAACAAGAAACUUGAUAAUAUGUCCUAAUCACUUGUUGCAUCAGAUGCAAAUCAAUUUUAAUAAAAGUUCGUGGAUAGUAUUUUGGUGCGAAGAGGGACGCUCGUUAAGUUGGUUACCUAUAUGUUAUUGGCAGGUCUAAUGAACACAGUACAUACUGCGUCGCAACUUUUCAACGCAAUCGCCAUGGCACCGAGUGACUUUUGUCACACGUUGCUUUAGUGCAUCACAAGCAGGGACAAAUCCUGUUUAGUGAGAGAAUAAGCGUGUAUUGCGUUUUGCAACAUGAUCAAAAACUCCAACUCUAUGACUUUUCAAUGUGUAAGCGUGAAAGCACGAUACAUUAUUAAAUCGAAAAUGUCGAGAAGGCAUUAGUCUUAAAAUUUUAAAUUUAUCUAUUUUAAUUAAUAUCACAUAGAACAUACUCAUAUUUUCCUACGUUUCUAAAUUGCUGAAAUACAAAUUGAAGGUAUAAUAUGUACAUACUUUAGAAAAUUGUCUUUAUAUACAGGAUGAUACUUUACAACUACAAGCUAUCCUGAUACAUGCCGAGCAAUGCAACAUCUGUCAUGAAGUCAGCGUUCUGUGUUCAAAUAUAUCUAUACGUCGACUACUUUAGAUGCAAAAGAGUCGGAAUGUCAAGGAAACAACAGCAAAGCAACUAUUGUACAAAGUUUCAAUCUAGUUGCAUUUCAUUGAUACCGCGCACCGUAUCGCACUUAUACAAUUGUCAGGAUGAAUUACAACUCUUUUCCGGCAGAGUUUCGGAAAUAACAGAUAUGAACAAUCCUUAUUUGCAAUCAAUAGAGACGCCUUCGCUUAUUACAGCUGCUUGUAAUUUAUUGAAUACUUUAAUAUUCGUCGGACAACACGAGAUUGUACGACAAGUCUACGAAUAUUCCAUAAGUAUUUAUUCGGGAAGGGAUUGAGCACGAGGAGAGAGAGAUCCGGAAAGAAAAGGGAAGAGCAGCGACAGAAAGGUUGAUGACAGAGGGGGGGGGCGGAAUGGAGGGAAGCAGAAGGAGAUGGACAGAAGAGUGCCGGACGGAAGACGAAGGGAAGGGAAAUGAGAUGUGAGGUCGUAUACGGCCAGGCUGGGUCACGGGAAUAUGUAAAGGGUUGGGUACGUCCCUGUAAAACGUCAUGAAUGUAAAAAUGUAACAUGUAUGUGACCUGUUUAUGAAAUUGUACAAAUAUAAAUAUAGAAACUUUCGUUUUCAAUUAACAUAUUUAAACCUUAUCUUAUUACAAAAAAGUCUCCGAUUGAUUACUAUUUUCAUUCG